rnacentral:rRNA from 1 species
AGAGUUUGAUCCUGGCUCAGGACGAACGCUGGCGGCGUGCCUAAUACAUGCAAGUCGAACGCUUCUUUUUCCACCGGAGCUUGCUCCACCGGAAAAAGAGGAGUGGCGAACGGGUGAGUAACACGUGGGUAACCUGCCCAUCAGAAGGGGAUAACACUUGGAAACAGGUGCUAAUACCGUAUAACAAUCGAAACCGCAUGGUUUUGAUUUGAAAGGCGCUUUCGGGUGUCGCUGAUGGAUGGACCCGCGGUGCAUUAGCUAGUUGGUGAGGUAACGGCUCACCAAGGCCACGAUGCAUAGCCGACCUGAGAGGGUGAUCGGCCACAUUGGGACUGAGACACGGCCCAAACUCCUACGGGAGGCAGCAGUAGGGAAUCUUCGGCAAUGGACGAAAGUCUGACCGAGCAACGCCGCGUGAGUGAAGAAGGUUUUCGGAUCGUAAAACUCUGUUGUUAGAGAAGAACAAGGAUGAGAGUAACUGUUCAUCCCUUGACGGUAUCUAACCAGAAAGCCACGGCUAACUACGUGCCAGCAGCCGCGGUAAUACGUAGGUGGCAAGCGUUGUCCGGAUUUAUUGGGCGUAAAGCGAGCGCAGGCGGUUUCUUAAGUCUGAUGUGAAAGCCCCCGGCUCAACCGGGGAGGGUCAUUGGAAACUGGGAGACUUGAGUGCAGAAGAGGAGAGUGGAAUUCCAUGUGUAGCGGUGAAAUGCGUAGAUAUAUGGAGGAACACCAGUGGCGAAGGCGGCUCUCUGGUCUGUAACUGACGCUGAGGCUCGAAAGCGUGGGGAGCAAACAGGAUUAGAUACCCUGGUAGUCCACGCCGUAAACGAUGAGUGCUAAGUGUUGGAGGGUUUCCGCCCUUCAGUGCUGCAGCUAACGCAUUAAGCACUCCGCCUGGGGAGUACGACCGCAAGGUUGAAACUCAAAGGAAUUGACGGGGGCCCGCACAAGCGGUGGAGCAUGUGGUUUAAUUCGAAGCAACGCGAAGAACCUUACCAGGUCUUGACAUCCUUUGACCACUCUAGAGAUAGAGCUUCCCCUUCGGGGG